rnacentral:rRNA from 1 species
GGCUCAGGAUGAACGCUAGCGGCAGGCCUAAUACAUGCAAGUCGAACGGCAGCGGGUCCUUCGGGAUGCCGGCGAGUGGCGGACGGGUGCGUAACGCGUAUGCAACCUACCUAUCACAGGGGGAUAGCCCGGGGAAACUCGGAUUAAUACCCCAUAAAGCAGGGGUUUCGCAUGGGACUAUUUGCUAAAGAUUUAUCGGUGAUAGAUGGGCAUGCGUCUGAUUAGUUAGUUGGUGGGGUAACGGCCCACCAAGGCGACGAUCAGUAGGGGGUCUGAGAGGAUGAUCCCCCACACUGGCACUGAGAUACGGGCCAGACUCCUACGGGAGGCAGCAGUAGGGAAUAUUGGUCAAUGGGCGAGAGCCUGAACCAGCCAUGCCGCGUGCAGGAAGACGGCCUUCUGGGUUGUAAACUGCUUUUCUACGGGAAUAAAAAGGUUCUGCGGGACAAAUUGCAUGUACCGUAGGAAUAAGCACCGGCUAACUCCGUGCCAGCAGCCGCGGUAAUACGGAGGGUGCAAGCGUUGUCCGGAUUUAUUGGGUUUAAAGGGUGCGUAGGCGGAUAAUUAAGUCAGGGGUGAAAGGCAUUGGCUCAACCAGUGAAUUGCCUUUGAUACUGGUUAUCUUGAGUACAGUUGAGGUGGGCGGAAUUUAUGGUGUAGCGGUGAAAUGCAUAGAUACCAUAAAGAACACCGAUAGCGUAGGCAGCUCACUAAGCUGAGACUGACGCUGAGGCACGAAAGCAUGGGGAGCGAACAGGAUUAGAUACCCUGGUAGUCCAUGCUGUAAACGAUGAUCACUCGCUGUUGACCCUAGUUGGUCAGUGGCUUAGCGAAAGCGUUAAGUGAUCCACCUGGGGAGUACGUC